rnacentral:rRNA from 1 species
GUCCCGCCUGCCCUGUGACCAUGAGUUUAACGGCCGCGGUAUUUUGACCGUGCAAAGGUAGCGCAAUCACUUGUCUUUUAAAUGAAGACCUGUAUGAAUGGCACGACGAGGGCUUAACUGUCUCCUUUUUCCAGUCAAUGAAAUUGAUCUUCCCGUGCAGAAGCGGGAAUAUGAACAUUAGACGAGAAGACCCUAUGGAGCUUUAGACAUCAGGACAGCCCAUGUCAAACACCCCUAUUCAAAGGACUGAACUUAUUGGACCCUGCCCUAAUGUCUUUGGUUGGGGCGACCACGGGGAAACACAAAACCCCCAUGUGGACCAGGAACACUUUUUCCUACAACUAAGAGUUACAGCUCUAAUUAACAGAACUUCUGACCAGAAAUGAUCCGGCAAUGCUGAUCAACGGACCGAGUUACCCUAGGGAUAACAGCGCAAUCCCCUCUUAGAGCCCAUAUCGACGAGGGGGUUUACGACCUCGAUGUUGGAUCAGGACAUCCUAAUGGUGCAGCCGCUAUUAAGGG